rfam:Epulopiscium sp. SCG-B10WGA-EpuloB SCGB10WGA_B_113, whole genome shotgun sequence.
AAGAACUAAUAAUCUGAACAAUCAAAUGAUAGGGUAACGCCUUGAAAGGUUGUCCAUAAUACUCCGAAUAGCGAUAGUAAGGUAAAAUACUAAACGUUAUAAGCUCGGUGAAGUCGGCUGAGAGCAUACCCAAGUACUAGGUAAAAUUAGAAAACGGAAAAGUGAACCAGAGGUGGUCAAGUAUGUGAUAGGUCGGUGGUCCAAAAC